UUGUUAGUUGCUACCAUUUAGUUGAGCACUCUAGCGAGACUGCCCGGGUUAACCGGGAGGAAGGUGGGGAUGACGUCAAAUCAUCAUGCCCCUUAUGUCUAGGGCUACACACGUGCUACAAUGGCAAGUACAAAGAGAUGCGAUACCGCGAGGUGGAGCUAAACUAUAAAACUUGUCUCAGUUCGGAUUGUAGGCUGAAACUCGCCUACAUGAAGCUGGAGUUGCUAGUAAUCGCGAAUCAGAAUGUCGCGGUGAAUACGUUCCCGGGCCUUGUACACACCGCCCGUCACACCAUGAGAGUUGGCAAUACCCAAAGUUCGUGAGCUAACCCGUAAGGGAGGCAGCGACCUAAGGUAGGGUCAGCGAUUGGGGUGAAGUCGUAACAAGGUAGCCGUAGGAGAACCUGCGGCUGGAUCACCUCCUUUCUAUGGAGA
rnacentral:rRNA from 1 species